rnacentral:rRNA from 1 species
UACGAAGGGGGGCUAGCGUUGCUCGGAAUCACUGGGCGUAAAGGGUGCGUAGGCGGGUUUUUAAGUCAGAGGUGAAAUCCUGGAGCUCAACUCCAGAACUGCCUUUGAUACUGAAAGUCUUGAGUAUGGGAGAGGUGAGUGGAAUUCCCAGUGUAGAGGUGAAAUUCGUAGAUAUUGGGAAGAACACCAGUGGCGAAGGCGGCUAACUGGUCCAGAUCUGACGCUGAGGUGCGAAAGCGUGGGGAGCAAACAGG